UUGGUUAAGUUAGAAAGGGCGCACGGUGGAUGCCUUGGCACUAGGAGCCGAAGAAGGACGGGACUAACACCGAUAUGCUUUGGGGAGCUGUACGUAAGCGUUGAUCCAGAGAUUUCCGAAUGGGGGAACCCACUAUCUUUAGUCGGAUAGUAUCCUUACGUGAAUACAUAGCGUGAGGAAGGCAGACCCAGGGAACUGAAACAUCUAAGUACCUGGAGGAAGAGAAAGAAAAAUCGAUUUCCUGAGUAGCGGCGAGCGAAACGGAAAGAGCCCAAACCAAGAAGCUUGCUUCUUGGGGUUGUAGGACACUCUAUACGGAGUUACAAAAGAAAGUUAUAAAUGAAGCGGUCUGGAAAGGCCCGCCAAAGACGGUAACAGCCCGGUAGUUGAAAUGGCUUUCCCUCCAGAGUGGAUCCUGAGUACGGCGGAACACGUGAAAUUCCGUCGGAAUCCGGGAGGACCAUCUCCCAAGGCUAAAUACUCCCUAGUGACCGAUAGUGAACCAGUACCGUGAGGGAAAGGUGAAAAGCACCCCGGAAGGGGAGUGAAACAGUUCCUGAAACCGUGUGCCUACAAGUAGUUAGAGCCCGUUAAUGGGUGAUAGCGUGCCUUUUGUAGAAUGAACCGGCGAGUUACGAUUUGUUGCAAGGUUAAGCGGAAAAAGCGGAGCCGUAGCGAAAGCGAGUCUGAAUAGGGCGCAUAAGUAACAGGUCGUAGACCCGAAACCAGGUGAUCUACCCAUGUCCAGGAUGAAGGUAAGGUAAUACUUACUGGAGGUCCGAACCCACGCACGUUGAAAAGUGCGGGGAUGAGGUGUGGGUAGCGGAGAAAUUCCAAUCGAACUUGGAGAUAGCUGGUUCUCUCCGA
rnacentral:rRNA from 1 species